GCAUAUCAAUAAGCGGAGGAAAAGAAACUAACAAGGAUUCCCCUAGUAACUGCGAGUGAAGCGGGAAAAGCUCAAAUUUAAAAUCUGGCGGUCUUUGGCCGUCCGAGUUGUAGUCUGGAGAAGUGCUUUCCGCGCUGGACCGUGUACAAGUCUCUUGGAACAGAGCGUCAUAGAGGGUGAGAAUCCCGUCUUUGACACGGACUACCAGUGCUUUGUGAUGCGCUCUCAAAGAGUCGAGUUGUUUGGGAAUGCAGCUCAAAAUGGGUGGUGAAUUCCAUCUAAAGCUAAAUAUUGGCGAGAGACCGAUAGCGAACAAGUACCGUGAGGGAAAGAUGAAAAGCACUUUGGAAAGAGAGUUAAACAGUACGUGAAAUUGCUGAAAGGGAAACGCUUGAAGUCAGUCGCGUCGUCCGGAACUCAGCCUUGCUUCGGCUUGGUGCACUUUCCGGAUGACGGGCCAGCAUCGAUUUUGACCGCCGGAAAAGGGUAGGAGAAAUGUGGCACCUUCGGGUGUGUUAUAGUCUCCUAUCGCAUACGGCGGUUGGGAUCGAGGAACGCAGCGCGCCUUAUGGCUGGGGUUCGCCCACAUUCGCGCUUAGGAUGCUGGCAUAAUGGCUUUAAACGACCCGUCUUGAAACA
rnacentral:rRNA from 1 species